rnacentral:sRNA from 1 species
CCCAUACCAAAGGCUCACUUCUGAGCCUCAAGUUCCAUUUCCUCUCACGAGAGGAUGUGACGCUCUCAUUCAGCCACUCUGCCCUGUUUGGGAGCUUUUUCCCACAGUCAAGCCGGUCUAUUGCCCAUCCUUGGAUCAUGUGGUAGGAGCUGAUGUUUUUACCACCCGCCUCUGUCCAUCUUCUUGUGGUUACAGUGCCCUGGUUUUCCACAGGAAAGCCAUGCCUCCCUCACCCUUAUUUUGUACGGUCCAAAUAGUCUCAUAUGGACCCACCAUCCUCAGUGUCUAGUAAUGCAGAGAUGGGUCCACUCCCCAAUCCAAGCCAAUGAGAUGCUUAAGAAAGGCGCACUUCCUUUAUCCCUGAACUUGCUUGUAGUGAUGUUAACCAGGGUCCAGCAGUCAUGCUGUCAGCACCAGAGACAACCUACCUACAGAUGCAGCCAAUGUGGAGGGACAGGAGCCAAUAGGUGAAAGAGAGGGGGUCUCUGUGGCACUGUUCGAGCCUCCACAGCCAGCUAGGCAUUACCGCUAGAUGUGAAGCGGUAAACAAUAUUGGGCCGCAGAUUGGGAGUAGAGUGGG